UCGAGAAUCUUUCACAAUGGGGGAAACCCUGAUGGAGCGACGCCGCGUGGAGGAUAAGGUCUUCGGAUUGUAAACUCCUGUCAUGCGAGAGCAAGGUUGUGCGGUUAAUAGCCGUGCAACUUGAUAGUACCGCAAGAGGAAGAGACGGCUAACUCUGUGCCAGCAGCCGCGGUAAUACAGAGGUCUCAAGCGUUGUUCGGAAUCACUGGGCGUAAAGGGUGCGUAGGUGGCGUGGUAAGUCAGAUGUGAA
rnacentral:rRNA from 1 species